rnacentral:rRNA from 1 species
ACACAUGCAAGUCGAGGGGCAGCGGGAUUGAAGCUUGCUUCAAUUGCCGGCGACCGGCGCACGGGUGAGUAACGCGUAUCCAACCUUCCGUACACUCAGGGAUAGCCUUUCGAAAGAAAGAUUAAUACCUGAUGGUAUGAUGAGAUUGCAUGAUAGCAUCAUUAAAGAUUUAUCGGUGUACGAUGGGGAUGCGUUCCAUUAGGUAGUAGGCGGGGUAACGGCCCACCUAGCCAACGAUGGAUAGGGGUUCUGAGGGGAAGGUCCCCCACAUUGGAACUGAGACACGGUCCAAACUCCUACGGGAGGCAGCAGUGAGGAAUAUUGGUCAAUGGACGAGAGUCUGAACCAGCCAAGUAGCGUGAAGGAUGAAGGUCUUACGGAUUGUAAACUUCUUUUAUAAGGGAAUAAAACCUCCCACGUGUGGGAGCUUGUAUGUACCUUAUGAAUAAGCAUCGGCUAACUCCGUGCCAGCAGCCGCGGUAAUACGGAGGAUGCGAGCGUUAUCCGGAUUUAUUGGGUUUAAAGGGAGCGCAGACGGGUCGUUAAGUCAGCUGUGAAAGUUUGGGGCUCAACCUUAAAAUUGCAGUUGAUACUGGCGUCCUUGAGUGCGGUUGAGGUGUGCGGAAUUCGUGGUGUAGCGGUGAAAUGCUUAGAUAUCACGAAGAACUCCGAUUGCGAAGGCAGCACACUAAGCCGUAACUGACGUUCAUGCUCGAAAGUGUGGGUAUCAAACAGGAUUAGAUACCCUGGUAGUCCACACGGUAAACGAUGGAUACUCGCUGUUGGCGAUAUACGGUCAGCGGCUUA